rnacentral:ncRNA from 1 species
ACCAUCUUUUUCUUGGGGUUGUGCUACCAUCCAAUGAGCACAUAAUCAGGGCAAUAUUGCUAACGCCUAAACACCACACCCACAUCAACUAGAGCUUUGCUUUACCUUGGUACAAUUUUUGGAAAA